AACUCAGGUCCGAGGUAUCGCCAUAAGGAGUAAGACUAAACCACCAACAACAGCCUAACUCUGGUCACCUCACAGGAACUUUAAGAGGAAAUCCGCGCAUAUGCAACCCAUCCCAGAUUGAACAUCCAGUCUGCACAUAUGGCAGCCAUGUGUCCACGGCCCCUGUUUGCCCUCCUGACCCGUACACACACUGACGCCAGCGUGUCUUUGUGAGGUAACAGUGCAUUUCCUCCAAUAGCUCUUAGGGUUGAGGGGUGGAUGUCAGGGUUUGGGAAGGGGGUGGGUGGGUUAAAGAGGCUCUCAAAAAGCUCAGGAUCAGAUUGCAUGACUUAGCUUGCCCAAUGUAAACAGCACCCGGAAGAAUGCACGCUCACAGCUGCACACAAACAUUUUGAAUGGAGAGCUUGAACUUUGAUCAAUUGGGGGAUUUUUCAUCUGUCUGCCUAUUCCUCUCUGGGCUGUUUCUGCAGCGAGGGGUGAGAGUCAUGUAGCUGCUGAACACCUACGCAGCCUGUGAGUCAGACAGGCUUCUAAGCUGGGAAGAACCCUAGCACCAUUUUCUGAUUUGGUGGGCACAGACAUGGGGCGACAGAGGUGAAUCAAGAGACGCACAGGACACUUUGUAAAUAGAGUAUAUCUGUAUUGUUUGGACAUCUACACAACAACUAAAUGUUCAAAAUAUUAAAGAUAAAUUAAAUUAAAGAAGAAAAAAAAAGGUAAAAAAACGGCCGAACAGAUCCAGACAUUUGUCGGCAGUUAUGAAACUUUACCCCGACUUCUGGCUUGGGGGACAUUUUUUAUGGUUUGCAGUGUGUAGGAGGCACUUUAUCACCCUGUAGCUUUCAGGCAAUGAGAUCACUGGACCUGUCACCUUUCUUUUUCGCUUUGUGCGUGCGUGUGUGUGUGUAAUAUCAUAUUGGUCUCCUCAAAGUGUUUUAGUGUUCCUAGCAUCAUGCAUGUGGCCCCUGACUAAUGUGACAUUCCUGAGCCAUUACAAUGCUGCCAUCUGACAGGAAAAAGCAGCGCUCUGUCGGCUGUCCUUGCAUUCAGUUCGUGAGCCACAGCAGUAAUUUGAUUUUCUAGUCACGGGAAAUAAUGUUGUGCUGGCCUAAUUAUGAAGAAAAGGGGAUUUCCAUUAAUUGUGAUUUCUCACAAGUUAAUUAUAGUGGUCAGUGAUGGUGAGCACACAUUGCUUGUUAGUGUGGCGACAAAAACAAGAGAUAACCCAGGUUCAAUAGCGCAAUUAAAACAUUUAAAGGUUUGAACUUUGAACGAUGAAUAAAUCAAUUCAAAAUUUGAUAAAAACACACAAACCAGGCAUAGACAUGCAAUAGACACAGAAACAACACAAUGGUGGACCUCAGAAACUGGAGCAAGCACUAAUCAGAAUGGAUUUUGGGGAGUAAUCUAAUUGCAUAUAUCAGAUUUAUACUCCAUAUAAAAUCAAGGACAGACCAACAGCUAUUCUGAGUGAAGCCAAAACUCUUGGUUCUCCCUAUCCCUGAUGACUGGUUCUUCCAUUUUGACAGAUGGAACAUGGGUUGGUCUUGAAAACAUAAAUACCCUGUCUGUCAUAAUAGUUUUCAUCAUACUGCUUUAUAUUUUUUGGGGGAGAAUUUUCAUUUUAAUGGAUUUUGAGAGCUUUGUUAACAAAUACAGGGUUAGUUUUUUUUCUUGGAUUUACAGAGUACAGGAUUAAUGACAAUAAAAAUACAGAACAAACACAAAUACAAGGGUCCUGCAACUUACUAAAACAAUUGUCUGCUUCAUAUUGUCACAUCUCUGUUUUAUUUUAGACUGUUUUGUUUGGGGAUCGAGAGGGGGGUUAUCAAUUAAGAGGGAAGUAUAACUUCAAAAUUAAUAAAAUCUGCACAACCAGAAAACAAUUUUGUAUUUCAUUCUGUUGGGGUGAGACUGUGGAACAUUAUGGGUGAGGAGUUAAUACAAUGUCCAAAC
rnacentral:lncRNA from 1 species